rnacentral:lncRNA from 1 species
ACAUCAGGCCUCGGAAUUCUGGGCAUCGGACGGACAGCUCGUGACCUCAGAAGGAGGAAAACGGUCACCUUCUGAAAGAAACACGAACUCCUCUUUCCUGUAUCAGAACAUUUCUCAUUCACCUGAGCGCGGCGUUUCUAUCCUGAGAUGUUGGGAGGAGGUUCGAGGUGGGCGGGGUGACGGUUUUCUCUUGGAAAUGAAAAACAGCCUUUCCUGCUACCCCUGCCCGCUCACACAGGCGAGACUUGGAGUCUGCCCCGCGGAAAGCCGUUUCUAUGGGUGACGACGUAUGGCAACGCGUCUAAGGGAACGUCGGCGAGUCGACUAUUGUGUUCCCAAAGUCGCCCUGAAAUGAGGACAGAAGUUCGGGGGAGCCGGGGGCGUAGAGUAAAGGCACGAUCUGAUUGGCCCGCGGCCGCGCAACGAUGGGCGGGACGGGGCAGAAGUGUGGGCGAGCUGGGGCGUCACCGCGCGCCGGGUAGUCUCUCUCACGCCCUGGCGGGUGCGCAGGUCUCUAAACUGGGCGGAGCAAGGGAAGUGAUGUGUGGCCUCCGGAAGGACGCGCGUAAAUCCUCACCCAUAAGUAACGAGUCGCCGUGGUCAAACAAGGCCCUCCUACGAUACCAAUCGCGUGGCGGGUGUGGUACUGCCGAACCCGAGGAAUGAGAAAGGAGGCCCGGCAGAAAGUUCGGAUCAGCUGCCGGCCGUUCCCGGCGUAGCCUAGGGCGGGGAGGGAUUGACUCCCCGGAACAUCCCGGGGUAAAGACCUCGCAUAACAGCGAAACCGCUGAGGGACUGUUGUGUGGCGAGGCCUUGGAGACAGACAGGCCCACACACUCCCUUUCCUCGUGAGGGUCACCGACCUGCCUACUUGGGAACGACAUAGACCUGACAGUUGUGUUUGGGGGUGGAGGUUGAUGACCAGUUAUUGAAUGAAUCGCAGAGACAUUUGCGUAGGAGUGUUGAUGCAAGAUUUUCUUCUUUUUUUUUUUUUUUUUGAGAUGGAGUCUCGCUGUCUCCCAGGCUGCAGUGUAGUGGCAGGAUCUCGGCUUACAACAACCUCCGCCUCCCGGGUUCAAGCGAUUCUCCUGCCUCAGCCUCCCGAGUAGCUGGGACUACAGGCGCACGCCACCACGCCCGGUUGAUUUUUGUAUUUUUAGCAGAGACGGGGUUUCACCGUGUUGGCCAGGCUGUUCUGGAACUCCUGACCUCAGGUGAUCCGCCCACCUCGGCCUCCCAAAGUGCUGGGAUUACAGGCGUGAGCCACCGCGCCCGGCCCCCCUCUGGCCACUAUUAUUAUAGUUUUUAAAGCCUCUUAAUCGUAAAUACUAGAGUCUUAUUUUAUUCUUAGAGGGAAUUUUUAGAUGAGAGGCAAAAUUGUAAAAAGGAAAGUUUGAAUAUAAUUACAGACUAUAUUUUACGGAAGAGAAAUUGAAAAUGUACACUUUUUUCUAAAUAUUUAAAAUAAAUGUUUAGGCAGGCACAUUAGAAAACAUAAAAAGGAGCAAAAACUCAGCACUAAACCACUGGUCAAAGUUAACUGCUGUUAACAUUUUAGUGUUUUCCUUCUGUUGUUUUUUCCUAUCUUACAAAUACUGAAUCACUAAACAAUGCAUUUGUUAGACGAACAUAAACCACCCUGUGGCUUUAUCUGUGGAGUAGGACUAUGGGAGACUUUCACUUUGUUAGAUAUUUCUGUAUCAUUUGGAGUAUUAUAAAAUGUACAUGCAUUCCUUUUCUAACCAGAAAAUCUAAAGUGUUUUUGUUUUUGUUUUGAGACGGAGUCUCACCCUGUCGCCCAGGCUGGAGUGCAAUGGCAGGAUCUCAGGUCACUGCAACCCCUGCCUCCUGGGUUCAAGCGAUUCUCCUGCCCCAGCCUCCUAAGUAGCUGGGAUUACAGGUGUGCGCCACCACGUCCAGCUAAUUUUUUGUAUCUCUAGUAGAAACGGGGAUUCACCAUGUUGGCCAUGUUGGUCUCAAAGUCCUGACCUCGUGAUCCGCCUGCCUCAGCCUCCCAAAGUGCUGGGAUUAUAGGCGUGAGCCACCGCGCCCAGCCGAAAAUCUAAAGAUAUUGAAAAGAUACAAAGGAGCACAUUAUGAACAUUUUUUUCGUAUCACUGAGUAUUUUAUAACUGCAUCAUUGAUUUUAAAAGAAUUCAUGACUUUGAAAACUAAUAUUCUACAAAGUAGCUUUUGAUUUAACAUGAGAUUUUAUAUAUGUGCUUAUCUUGGUUCUCUAUGAAACCCCAU